AUUACUCCUACGGGAGGCAGCAGUGAGGAAUAUUGCACAAUGGACGAAAGUCUGAUGCAGCAACGCCGCGUGCGGGAUGACGGCCUUCGGGUUGUAAACCGCUUUCACCAGGGGCGAAUGUGACGGUACCUGGAGAAGAAGCACCGGCUAACUACGUGCCAGCAGCCGCGGUAAUAAU
rnacentral:rRNA from 1 species